AGCGAACGCUGGCGGCAGGCCUAACACAUGCAAGUCGAACGAAGUCUUUGGACUUAGUGGCGGACGGGUGAGUAACACGUGGGAACGUGCCUUUAGGUUCGGAAUAACUCAGGGAAACUUGUGCUAAUACCGAAUGUGCCCUUCGGGGGAAAGAUUUAUCGCCUUUAGAGCGGCCCGCGUCUGAUUAGCUAGUUGGUGAGGUAAAGGCUCACCAAGGCUACGAUCAGUAGCUGGUCUGAGAGGAUGACCAGCCACAUUGGGACUGAGACACGGCCCAAACUCCUACGGGAGGCAGCAGUGGGGAAUCUUGCGCAAUGGGCGAAGGCCUGACGCAGCCAUGCCGCGUGGAUGAUGAAGGUCUUAGGAUUGUAAAAUCCUUUCACCGGUGAAGAUAAUGACUGUAGCCGGAGAAGAAGCCCCGGCUAACUUCGUGCCAGCCGCCGCGGUAACAC
rnacentral:rRNA from 1 species